rnacentral:misc_RNA from 1 species
AGAUUCAUCAUUUUUAUGUUGAAAGCUGGAGCAUUUUGCUUUUUGAUUAAUUGUAAUGAUAUUUGAGUGCCAACAAGCAGUGAUGUGAACUGCCUUCUAAUUUGCUCUCUGAUUGUAGUAAACUAAGAAAGGUAAAUAUGAGAAAACUAGCAAGAUGCCUGUGCUCUCUGAUUCAUCUAGUAAACUAAGAUCACCAAUUUCUUCAUA